CAUUCGAGUGGCGGACGGGUGAGUAACGCGUGGGUAACCUGCCUUACACAGGGGGAUAACACCUGGAAACAGGUGCUAAUACCGCAUAAGCGCACAGGGCCGCAUGGCCCGGUGUGAAAAACUCCGGUGGUGUAAGAUGGACCCGCGUCUGAUUAGCUUGUUGGCGGGGUAGGGGCCCACCAAGGCGACGACCAGUAGCCGGCCUGAGAGGGUGGACGGCCACAUUGGGACUGGGACACGGCCCAAACUCCUACGGGAGGCAGCAG
rnacentral:rRNA from 1 species